rnacentral:lncRNA from 1 species
UAGUGGGCUGGGUCGUUAUACCUUAUUACACCAAAAACUCUUUAUAUAAUAUGAACGUUUUUCAACCUUUUCGAUUAUGCACUAGAAUUUCAUGUGGUAGCUUCACAUACUUACCGGACGACCGGGGUGGUAGCUCUUUCAUACAUGUGGUGGUAGUUUUCACACUCCCUUUGUGUUGUAACUCUUUCCACAUCUUUUAAGCACUUGGAGUGUUUCUCCUUUUUCAUUCAUUUAUUUUUUAGGUAUAACUCCCCCUUAAU